UAGGAAAGUUAUGUCCAAUUUAUAACUUUCACUGUCUUUCCUAUUCCCAUCCCCACUCCUUUCCCUUUGUCUAAUCAAAUGAACUUCUGUUCUUCCUCUCCAUACACUCCCUUGUAGUGGAUUACCAUCCACAUAUCAGGGAGAACAUUUGGCCUUUAGGACUUUGGGACUGGCUUAUUUCACUUAGCAUGAUAUUCUCCAGUUCCAUCCAUUUUUUCAGCAAAUGCAAUAAUUUCAUUCUUCUUUGUGGCUGAAUAAUAUUCCAUUGUGUAUAUAUACCACAUUGAAUUUUCUUUAUCCGUUCAGUUACUGAGGAAUUAUUGAGGCCAAAGUAAAGAAUUGGGUUUUCCUCUAAGAAUAAAGUAGCAAAUAUAAAAACUAAGGAAGCAUGAGAAAACAGGAGAAGUUCAGGGACACUGUAGUCAUUUAGUGUGGUUUCUGUGAAUGCAAAAUGUAGAGGUUAUUAGAUGAGGCUGGACAACAGGGCAAAAACCAAAUCAUGAAGAUUUCUUUUUAGCAUAUAAGAGAAUUUUGACUGUAUCCUGAAAUUGAUGGGAAGUAAUUAACAAUAUUUAAAUAAAGGAAUGACAUGAAUGAUUUUUUUUCAGAAGGAACAUGCUAUCAAUCUUGUAGAAGGUUGUUUGUGAGACAAGAACGGAGGCAGGAGACCAAUUAAGUGACUCUUUAUAAUUUCAGAGAAAUAAUAUACUAGUCUAGGAAAACUGAUUAAAGGAGGAAGAAAAGAGGAUCAAGAUUGAAGCCUUGAGGAUAAAUACCAUUUAAGGGUUGAGAGGAAGGAAAUAAAUCAGCAUUGGAGAUCUCUAGCGUGCUGAUUGGUGUUGAGUUGCUGAGUGUUUUGCAUCAUCUCCUUUUGACCUGGAACCCACCAUCCAUCCAGCUGUUGGUUACUGGAGUUGUAAAACAGAUAGUAAGAGCUGCUCAGGAUUAUUUGCAGGAAAAAAGAAAUACUCUAAGUAAGCACUGUAAAUCACACUAACUUAAAGUAAACCUUAUUUACACUCUAAUUUUUGAAGUAGUAAUGCCAGGAGGUUUAUAAUUUAGAAAAUGAUCAUACAUUUAGAAAAUUUGAAACUGAGUUUGUUUUCAUUAGAAAGGACCAAAUGAAAUUGCUGAUAGCUGAUCAUUUUUCCCCUCCAAAAAUGUCAACUUCACAUAGUUCAACCUAGCGUAUGUGUUAUUUUUAUUAGGAAAUAAUUACCUAAAAUUUUCUAAGUAAAAAAUAACUAUCCAUCUGUUUAGAGAAGUUAAUACACAAAAUUCUAGUAAGACAGAGAAUUAUACUAAGAAAGACAUGUAGCAUUAUUUAGGCAUUUACUUGUAAAUCCUUUUGAAGGAAUUUCUUAAAGGUAUUUAUUGUGAUAUUUUAUAUGCCAUUUUCAAUUUUCUGCUGAAAAUUUUACUAAAAUUAUUUUUUAUCUAAUAUGAAGAUGACAUGGAAAAAAGUCCUGUCCAGUAUUAGGAGAAGGAGGUGACAGUGGUGGCCUCAUUCCUGGAAAAUCUCUUGUGUUUGCAACUAUGGAGCUAUUGAUGUUCAUUUUAGUUCGGCAUAUGCCACAUCUGAUGUCAGACUCUCCAAGUCACAUAGCCACUAAAUCCCAGCUGUCAGAAGAAAGUGCUUGUCUGGUGGCAGCCACAGUCACCAUUCUCUAUGAUUUACCGUCCCUUUGUUCACCUGCUGGAUGUAUGACAAUCCUGCCCACAAUUCUGUUCUUAAUUACAAGAAUAUUAAAAGAUAAAGCAAUAAAGUCUGCAGACAAUCAGGUUCCUCUACCCAUCAGUGCAGCUUUUCAAGACAUUAAAAUUAUUGUGACACUUUCAAUGGCCAAAACUGAGGAAACUCAAAAACAGUGGACAGCUCUAAUUUGUAGCACUUUUGCAUGUAUCCUGGAAUAUUCACAACCAGGUAACCUGUCAGAAUUUUUAAAAAUAUUGAUCUGUUCAGAUAUCUAUCUGUUCCCUAAUUAAUUAAUUAUUUAAGUAAUUGUAUCAGAAAAUUGCUGUAUAACAUUGAAUUAACUCAGAGAGGUGCAUUAGUCACAUUUUUUUGGAUUUGAAAUUUCAAUAACUCUGUCUGAAUUAUUGACUUUAAAUAUCUUUGUCUUAGAACUUUCAUACAUACUGGAAAGUUUUAAAAAAGGAUAUAAUAUAUAUCCAGAAUUGACAUGUAUUAGUAUAAUUGAUAUAAAAUUGGAAAGAAGUUGAAGUAUCUGUCACUAUUUCAAUGUAUCACAAAUGGAACCAUAAUCUUGGUAUUGAUAUAUUUUAUUCUACAAAUUUCCCUAUUAUAAAUUAUAUUUUCUAUGUUAAUAUGCAUCAAUUAUUUUAACAAAUAUACU